UAGGGAAUCUUCCGCAAUGGGCGAAAGCUUGACGGAGCAACGCCGCGUGAGUGAUGAAGGUCUUCGGAUCGUAAAACUCUGUUAUUAGGGAAGAACAAAUGUGUAAGUAACUAUGCACGUCUUGACGGUACCUAAUCAGAAAGCCACGGCUAACUACGUGCCAGCAGCCGCGGUAAUACGUAGGUGGCAAGCGUUAUCCGGAAGUAUUGGGCGUAAAGCGCGCGUAGGCGGUUUUUUAAGUCUGAUGUGAAAGCCCACGGCUCAACCGUGGAGGGUCAGUGGAAACUGGAAAACUUGAGUGCAGAAGAGGAAAGUGGAAUUCCAUGUGUAGCGGUGAAAUGCGCAGCGAUAUGGAGGAACACCAGUGGCGAAGGCUACUUUCUGGUCUGUAACUGACGCUGAUGUGCGAAAGCGUGGGGAUCAAACAGG
rnacentral:rRNA from 1 species